rnacentral:rRNA from 1 species
GACGAACGCUGGCGGCGUGCUUAACACAUGCAAGUCGAACGGAAAGGCCCUGCUUUUGUUGGGUGCUCGAGUGGCGAACGCGUGAGUAACACGUGAGUAACCUGCCCUUGACUUUGUGAUAACUUCAGGAGACUGGGGCUAAUACCCGAGAUGAGCUCCUGCUGCAUAGUGUUGGUUGGAAAAUGUCGGCUGUUGUGUAUGGACUGGAUGGUUAUCAGCUGGUUGGUGGGGUAGGUGCGUACCAGGGCUUUGACGGGUAGCCGGCCUGGGAGGGUGAACGGCGACAUUGGGACUGCGAUACGGAGCAGAAUCCUACGGGAGGCAGCAGUGGGGAAUAUUGCACAAUGGCGGGAAGCCUGAUGCAGAAACGUCGGGUGCGGGAUGCCGGCUUUCGGGUUGUAAACCGCUUUCGCCUGUGAUGAACAGGGAGUGACGGUAAUGGGUCAAGAAGCCCCGGCUAACUACGUG